AUACGUAGGGGGCGAGCGUUGUCCGGAAUGAUUGGGCGUAAAGGGCGCGUAGGCGGCGCGGUAAGUCUGGAGUGAAAGUCCUGCUUUCAAGGUGGGAAUUGCUUUGGAUACUGCCGCGCUUGAGUGCAGGAGAGGUUAUCGGAAUUCCCGGUGUAGCGGUGAAAUGCGUAGAGAUCGGGAGGAACACCAGUGGCGAAGGCGGGUAACUGGACUGCAACUGACGCUGAGGCGCGAAAGUGUGGGGAGCAAACAGGAUUAGAUACCCUGGUAGUCCACGCUGUAAACGAUGAAUACUAGGUGUGGGGGGACUGACCCCCUCCGUGCCGCAGUUAACACAAUAAGUAUUCCACCUGGGGAGUACGAUCGCAAGAUUGAAACUCAAAUGAAUUGACGGGG
rnacentral:rRNA from 1 species